rnacentral:lncRNA from 1 species
GCCCGCCUCGGCCUCCCAAAGUGCUGGGAUUACAGGCGUGAGCCACCGCGCCCGGCCAGUCUGCUUCUUAUUUUUCCUGGGAAAUCAGCUCCAGGGGUCUAUCCAAUAAGACCUUCAUGUUUGCUGAACUUUUUGUUGAUCUAAAACAGACAUCAGCUGUUGGAAAGACACUGCUACUUUAAGAUGUUGGCCUGGGCAGAUAUUCCAGCAGUUUUAUUUUCCUCAGGAUUGUCAUGGGGAGAGGAGAACAAACUGUCUCAGCUACAGUGAAGCCGGGUCAUUUAGUCCUCUCAUUGCCUUAUUUUUAUAUGCAACAGCGCCCAGCUCAGGGCCUUAUGAGGCAGAAGGUGAAACUGACUCUGGAGGCGGGGACUCGGGUACCGGACCAGAUUGAGAACUAGCUAAACAGGGUCGGGCAGAGGCGGCUUUCCAUAAGACAGGGCCACCACGGCACCAUGUCAGUUUACCAUCGCCAUGGCAAUACCCGGAAGUUACCACCCCUUUCCAUGGCAAUGACCUGGAAGUUACCACCCACCUAGACAUUUCUGCAUAAACUGCCUCUUAAUUUGCAUAUAAUUAAAGGUGGGUAUAAAUAUGCCUGCAGCCCUAGCCUGGGCGCACUGCUGGUGGGUAGCCAUGGUCUGUAGGGAGCAGUAUCUCUGCUGCCGCUGUCCUUGAGUUCUUUCCUCGGUGAAGCCAGACUAAGCCCCAGUUUUGGGGUUCAUCUGCCCUGCAUCACUUACACAGUGCAGAGCAGGCUCUCAGGAAAUACGGAUUGAGUAAAUUUGGCAUUUGUUGUCAUAGUGAUUAUUUCUAUUGUAACAUCUAGGCAAAACGGCCAACCCUUGUGUCAUUUCAAAAAAGGUCAGUUUCGCCCAGCACAGUGGCUCACGCCUGUAAUCCCAGCACUCUGGGAGGCCAAGGCGGGUGGAUAAUCUGAAGUCAGGAGUUCGAGGCCAGCCUGGCCAACAUGAUGAAACCCUCGUCUCUACGAAAAAUACAAAAAUUAGCUGGGCAUGGUGGCCGGCGCCUUUAAUCCCAGCUACUCGGGAGGCUGAAGCAGAAUUACUUGAACCCAGGAAGCGGAGGUUGCACUGAGCCGAGAUCAUGCCACUGCGCUCCAGCCUGGGUGACAGAGCAAGACUCCAUCUCAAAAAAAAAAAAAAAAAAAAGGUCAGUUUAAUUUUCAUUGUCUCUAAGGUGCUUUCCACGUUUUCCUAACCUUGAUAUGAUGGAGCAGGAUCUGAGGGACUGGAGCAGUAAGUACUUUCUCACAUAGUUCCAGUGAGUCAAUGUUAACAAUAUAUUUAUAGUUUAUAGGGUUUUGAUUACUGUCUGGAAGUACAAAGGAGGAAGACAAACUAGUUUGCAAAAUAAAAUCAAUAAAAUAAAAAUAGCACCAUGUAGAAGACUUCCUCUGGAUGUCACUAGAUUUGUGCUUUAUAAAGUUCUUUCUUUGGUUGAGAGGAUAGAAGAAGAGUGUCUAAAUAUACCAGAGGAGAGCUAUGGAAACAGGAUAAGACAGGAGAAUUGACUUAAAAAACCCCACAAGUAUCUCAUUUGCAUGCGCUACCAUGGAACAUGCUUUUGUUCCAAGUAUGUAGAAUUUUCUUCUCCAUGUGGAUAUGAAUUAGAGAACAUUUUUCAGUGUCUGGGAGGCAAAUGAGGAAAGAGGGGGAAUUGGGCAUUUUUGUUUUCAUUUUGACUGAGGGACACAGAGAUGAUUGCAAAGAGUUACCAAUGGGUUUGCUCAAAUGUGAGAGCUUUUGGAUAGUGGUGUUAUUGGACUACUAUUCACUAUUCAGGUGGUUCACAACUUCCCCACCUUUUUGGCUUGUAGAACUUCUGUUAGUCCUGUAAGACUCAAAUUAAAUAUCCCCUCCUCCUGGGAGCUUUCCCUGACUUUCUUCCUGUCUCAUUGUCAUUUUUUAAGCUCCACAGUGGUUUAUAUGUACUUUCUUUGUGCUAUUUAUCAUGGUAAUUAUUUUUUAGUAACUAACGCUAUGUCCUCUUCUUUCAGGCGGUGGUGUGUGUUGCUCUUUAUACAUCCAGGAUCUAGCAGGGCGCCUGGCACAUAGGAUGUCAAUAAAUCCUGGUGAAGGGAUGGAAGAUGGAGUGGAUCCUAACUUCAUUCUCUCCUGAAUUCUUUCUAGACCAACUCCAUCAGAUGUUCCGGAGACUGAGGAAUCAAAGCCUUAGAAGACCAGGGUUAGGAAAUUAUACAGCAACAGGACUAACAGGAGAACAGGACACUCUCCAAACUCUCCCUCCAGUCUAAGAUGAUGCCAGCUCCAGGAAGUUGGGGAUUGUCUUCCUCACUCCUGUAUUCCCGGCUCCUAGAACAGUGACUGUCACCCAGCAGCUGUUGAGCUAAUGGCUAUUGAGUGGACAACCACUCGAGCAACAAUGCAGUCAGCUUCGUGGACUUUGUUUUACUGAGGGGCAUCUGGAGAGUUGGGACCAGAGGUGAAUUGCUCAAGAGAAGAGGGAAGCAGUGAGGACACAGCUGUCCUCCUCCAUCUAUCCCCAGGUCAGGCAGCCCCCUCCUCUAAGGCAGAGAAUAUUGUUUGAAAGGCACUUGUCUUCACUUAUUUUGUGCUGCUACAACAGGAUACCACAACCUGAGGAAUUUAUAAUGAACAGAAAUUUAUUGGCUUAUGGUUCUAGAGACUGGGAAGUCCAAGAUCAUGAGCAUCUGGUGAGAUCACUGACAUCUGGUCAGGGCCUUCUUGCUGCAUCAAACAUGAUGGAAGGGCAAAGAGGGGGUGAGAGAGACAAGAGGGUGCCAACCCCUCCCAUGAUAAUGGCAUAAAUCCAUUCAUGAGGGUGGUGCCCCCAUGACCCAAACACCUACCAUUAGGCCCCACCUCCCAACACUACUGCGUUGGGGGUCAAAUUUCCAGCACUUGAACUUUGGGGAACCCAUUCAAACCACAGCAGCACUGUGGCAGACACUGCCAGUUCCCUGCCCAACAGGCAUUCCCCCUUUUCCUUGGCAACAGAUGCUAAAUUUAUUCAGGGUUGCAUGGUGCCAGCUUAAAAAGCUCAGCUCUGGGCUCCCUUGCAUCUGGGAAUGGCCUAUGGCACAUGUAGCCAGUUAGAUACAAACAGAAGCUGUUGGGAUUGGGGUGGUUAGAGGAAAGGUUGUUAAAAAGGAUGGACUUGAUCUGACAUGUCUGCCUCCUUCUUUUUGUCUGAAACUGGAGAUUUGGCCACUUAUCUGUCUUGAAAACCUGAUGAAAGCUACACACAUAGGAGGGCAGAAUGGAAAGACACACAGAACCUGGGUUUCUGAUAGCCCUGUACUAUUGGUCUCCAAAUUUCUUGGUAUGUGAGAAAAGCAAUCUCCUAUUUGGUUAAGCCACUGUAGCCACUGACAGGCAUCUGAACACAGCCCUGAUGGCUGCUUGCACCACCUGACUAGCUGCUGAGAUGCUGAAGUUCUUACAGAGUCCCUGAGUCCCAGGUCAGCCAAAUUAGCACAAAUUACUGAAGACACCAUCUCACAAUGGAUGGAGGCACUCCAGGGAGGCCGAGAACAACUGAAUGAUGCCUGAACCAACACAUGCAAGCACACACACACACACACACACCUAUUAGCUCAGACAACUGUGAGCCGGGAGAAUUUUGGACACAUAAGAGAGAGGGUUCUUGAAGAUGAGCAGGGACUGUAACCAUGAACUUCCUUUCCCAAAAGAAAAACUGUCCAGUCAUUCUGAAAGGAGGUGGAGUUGCACGUUGGGAGGGGAAAUCUAGAAUUCUGACCUGACAUGCUUAGCGUUUGCACUUACGCAGCUGUGCUCCCUGUGAAGGUACAGGAAUCCUGCUCCUCACCAAGAUCCAGGGGCAGCAAGCAGCUCUGCUCUUUCACGCACAGCAUACAUCUCCACCUGUGUUACCACUGUCAGAAGGUGCACUUUCCGUCUGAAUUAACAAAAAGCAUGAACCAUACUGGCUGUUAGGGACUGAAUGUUUAUAUCCCUCAAAAAUCAAAUGUUUAAGCCCUAACCCCCAACGUGACUAUAUUUAAAAACAGAGCCUAUAAGGAGGAGGCGCAGAGGACACACCAUGUGAGGACACAGCAAGAAGGCAGCUGUUUGUAAGCCAGGAACAGAGCCCUCACCAGAAACUGACUUUCUAGCACGUGAUCACAGACUUCCAGCCUCCAGAACUGUGAGAAAAUAAAUGUCUGUUUUUAAUCAGUCUAUGGUAUUUUGUGAUGGCAGCCUGACUAAUGCAAAUCUGUUCUGACCAAAACAGACUUUAUCCCCCUAAUAAAAAAAGCCAAAGAUUAAAUGAUUUCUGCCUAAUAUCUUCAAAUUUCCAGAACCUUUCCAAAAUAGAAGCUGAAGUCAUUGGCAUUAUUGGAGCAGACUUAGAGGACAAGCCUGGAAAUGUUUCUGGUUUGUCCUUCUUGUGAAAUAGAACAUUAUGAGAAAGGCCAAGUGCUUCUCACAGUUGAUCCUUUGAGACCAGGGCCUCCAUAAAUAUUUGAUGAUGUUUGAUGAAUGAACAAAUGAACACAUGAACAAAAGGCCAUAACGGGGCUUUCUGUGACCCAGGGGAAUGAGGUAGAGCCAGCAUGGCUCACUGCUCCCGAAGAUGUAAAAUCACAGAUGCGCUCAAGGUUUCCAGGACAAGUGGUCUUUGUAUUAUGGAAUAAAAGGAUUCCUGGAAAGUUGUGCAUAGACCAAAAUUUGCAAAAUAACUUAUAUUUUAAAUUAAUCACUAUAUUCUAAGAUCCAUCUCAGUAAUCCAUUGAAAAACCAAGAAUUUUUUCUCAGAAGAUGAGUGUCCCCCAUUGUGGAUACAUAUAUAUAUAUAUAUAUAUAAAUAUUUUUUUUUUUUUUAGACGAAGUCUUGCUCUGUCACCCCGGCUGAAGGGCAGUGGCAUGAUCUUGGCUCACGGCAACCUCUGCCUCCUGGGUUCAAGCAAUUCUCAUGCCUCAGCUUCCUGAGUAGCUGGGAUUACAGGCGUGCACCAACAUGCCCAGCUAAUUUUUGUAUUUUUAGUAGAGACAGGGUUUCGCUACAUUGGUCAGGCUGGUCUUGAACUCCCGACCUCAAGUGAUCUGCCCGCCUUGGCCUCCCAAAGUGCUGGGAUUACAGGCAUGAGCCACCACUCCCGGACAUGGAUGAAUCUCUUACAGAAGCUUGGACCCAAUUUCAGCCUCAAUGAAAGAGGAAGGAAAAGUGAACUGAUAAUGAAGCUAAGACAAUAAAGCCAAGAAGUACCUCCAGGACCAUCCCAGCCCCUUGUUUUACAGGUGAAGAUACUGGGGCAUCGAGAGGAGCCUUGCCCAGGGCCAUCCAGCUGAUGGUGGCCUGCGUGGUCUUCUGGCGGCCAGGCCAGCCAUCUUCCCUUAUUGCAAAAAUUCAAUUCGAUAUACAUAUAUUUGCUGUUAUUGCUAUUUUUGAUGUUUUGCUGUUAGCAUUGUAUUUUCCAGAAUGCUUUACUGUUAUUUAGAGCAAUCUACUACCUGGAAGAAUUAUAUUCUUUUUAUUUUUUUUGAGACAGAGUCUCACUCUGUUGCCAGGCUGGAGUGCAGUGGCGCAAUCUUGGUUCACUGCAACCUCUGCUUCCCGGGUUCAAGCAAUUCUCCUUCCUCAGCCUCCCAAGUAGCUGGGAUUACAGGCACGUGCCACCAUGCCCAGCUAAUUUUUGUAUUUUUAGUAGAGACAGGGUUUCAAUAUGUUGGCCAGGAUGGUCUCGAUCUCUGGACCUGGUGAUCCCACCUUGGCCUCCCAAAGUGCUGGGUUUACAGGCGUGAGCCAUCGUGCCUGGCCUCCUUGCUUAAUCUUUGUCUCAUUUUUCUUUGUCAAAAUAUUUCCUGUGGGGCUGGGUGUGGUGGUUCACACCUGUAAAUCCCAGUUACUUGGGAGCCUGAGGCAGGAGGAUUGCUUGAGGCCAGGAGUUUGAGACCAGCCUGGGUGGUGCAGAGAAGCUCUGAUAAAUAAAUAAAUGUUUAUUUCUAUUUUAAAUAAAUAUAUAUAUAUUUCCUUUAGGGCCAGACAGACAACUCCAUGGGCAGAGGAAGGAAGAUGGAGAGGCAGAGAGCGAAUGUGAAGGCUUCAGUUCGGAGGCAGAGACAGGGAUGGCGUGCACUUGGCCUGAUGCUGGUCAUCUCCUGUGCACUGAGCUCAGGCUGGGACAGGCUCUGGGAGAGUGUGCUGCUGCUGGCUCAGAAGGCUGAUUCCCUUUCCGAAGUCAUCACUCAUUAGGAGGAGAAUCCAACAAAUAUUUAUUUAAUAAUGAGAGGCAUUGGACUCUGAUUUAGAGACCAUGGGUUCUGGUCUUGAUUCCAAGCAGUUAACAUCUCCCAAUAAGAAAAGGAAAUGGGUGAUGGCUGAGGCCUCCAGCAGCUCACACCUUCCAGGCUUUUAGGGUCUUUGUGUCUAUGAAACAUCCACAAACUGUGGCCUAUUAACCCCAGAUAUUUGCUGUUUUCAAGAUACAAAAGACUGUCAGAGUUUAAGAUGUGCAUAUGACUGGGGAGCAGCCCUUCACUCAAGCUGCUGUUUAUCUCAACAGAGCAGUCAGGUAAAAGUAACACAGCUACCAGGGGAUUGGAGAGACACCUCUGUGAGGGGGUUGGGGCUCUCUCAGCCUCACUGAAUGAAAUCAUGAAAGAUAUUGAUAAGGUCCCUAGUAACACUUUAAGACAAAGAAAUUUUCCUUUGGAAUUGAAGACCUGACCUUCUGGUCUCUUUAUUCUUUUUAUUUUUUAAUAGAGACAGGGCCUUGCUCUGUUGCCAGCUGGGGUGCAGUGGCAUGAUCAUGGGUCACUGCAGCCUCAACCUCCUGGGCUCAUGUGAUCGUCCUGCCUCAGCCUCCCGAGUAGCUGCGACUACAGGAGCAUGCCACCAUGCCUGGCUAAUUUUUAAAUUUUUUGUAGAGACGUAUGUCUCUCACUAUGUUGUCCAGGCUGGUCUUGAGCUCCUGGGCUCAAGUAAUCCUCCUGCUUUGGCCUCCCAAAAUGUUGGAUUACAGACGUGAACCAUUGCAGCAUCCUUGGUCUCUUUAUUCUUUUUUU